GACAGAAACAGGACCCCUGGGAGCAUUUACCAGUACACACUGGAUGCAGGCACCACCUUGCACGUGAGGCAGCAAGACAAAGGGAUGUCCUCCACCUAAGCGAAAGCCAGAAGGAGCCUCCCUGGGCCAUUUAACCUGGGGCCCAUCUGAUGACUGGUAAGAACAGGGCAGUGAUGUGGCACAACAGCAAAGAGCCUGGGUUUUCGAGCCGCCAACCCUGAGGAUGAGGACUUGCCGUGGAGCCCUGACUUACAGGCCCGUACCCACGCCAGCUACGAAAAGGGGAUACUUAUGCCUGCGUGGCCCGAAUCAGAGGCUAUAGUGAGGAGAAACCGUCUACAAAAAUACUGAACGUGAACACUUUACAAAGUGCAAAAGUACCCCACAGAUACGAGCGGUCACGAAGGCUUUUACGAUCUCCAGUCACAGGACGAAAGGUCACCUUCCAGAAGGCAGUCAGUGAUCCCGACUGUCCAGAGUCACAGUUCACCUUCUGAGAUGGAGCUAAGAAAUGGCCUCUAAAGCCCACACUCUUCUGCACUUAAGACCCAAACUAUUAAGCUGGGUGGGCCUGUGAGGAGGCUCUUCCUUUCCUAGGCCGUGGGCUCCCCCCAUCCACGGACCAGGCGAUGCCUCCUGGGGGAGGAGAGUAUGUCCGUGAACUUCAACAGGGAGAUAAAUGUUCUUUUCUAAAACCUAA